rnacentral:lncRNA from 1 species
UUACUCAUUGACUAGUGGGACAUUUGUUUGAUUUCAUGAGAUUAGAUUCUGUCCUCUUAAUCCAAAGACAAGGGCAAGGACCAAGUCCUGCUUAAGCACACAAUCUCAAGAAAAGGUCAGCUCCAAUCAUGUGCUCAGCCAUGGUAAAAAACGGACUUGUAAUGGACUUCUAAUUUUUAGUUCUUACAUGAUAGACUGAAUAAACUAGGCCUUGACUUGUAGUGUACAAAACCUAAAGAAGGUCAGGCUUAACCUUGUUGCUAAGAGUUGGCAAUUAAUAACACAAGUGUCUUACAUGUGUGAAAAACUUCCCUUCACUCACACACUCAGGGCAUUACAAAGACUUUAUCUAGAGAUGCUAGUUACACUUUUACUGGAGCUUAUUUUCAGAAGCUUUCUUUCAAAUGCUAAAUUUUGCUUAGACCACAAAAGCCCAUCUGCUGAAUUGUUUGAGCUCAGGCAGGUGCUCAUUCUUAUAGCUGAACUUGAAGUCAGUAGAGCUUCUCCAGAGGCCUGCAACAGGUUGCUCCAGAGUCAGGGUUUAGGGUUUUUGCUAUUAAGGUUGAAGACACAGCUGGCUAGAAACCAUUCAAGAGAGCAUUUAUUAUUCCUCAAAAGGAGGAGACCAAGUGUUGACAUUGCUAUGACAAAGUGGCUUUGGCUUUGAGAACACCAGUGGGCACCAUGUUCCCUUUUAGACUUCCUUCAUCCAGUGCACAUGAAAAAAUUUGACACAAGUAAAGGAGUCGAAGAAGAGGAAGCUCUCAUGCCCCCAUUCACAUGGCCUGCCACUUAGCUCACAUUCACCACACUUACCUCCAAAUCCAGCAGUUCAGGGUUCCCAUUCCCACCUGCUCCAUGCUCCCAACUAUUCCACAUGGAAAAUGUAAUCACAUUCACAAGAUGCAUGGUUGAGCCAGAACUAGUUGGCAGUUCACACAACAGUGUUUUAAAGUGUAUGUGCUUCCUCACCCUAUAUUUCUUAAGGUUUUUAAAAGAAUAUAAGUAAAAGAAUAUAAAUUAUAUAUGAUAUCUUUGUAUAUGUAUAUAUAGAUAUACAGAUAUAUAUGUCACAGACAUACAUAUUUACUCUAAUAAUUAUAAAAAUAAUACAAUAAAUAGAAAUAAGUAAAAUAGAUUAACUUUAUAAUAUCUUUCAAAGAACCUUCCUAGAAGCUUUGUAGACAUAAUUUCAUCUUUAUAUGUGUCUAUAGGUGAUUGAUAGGUUGAAUACUCAGCCAACAAGUUAAUCACGUGUCAUAUGUGCUAGUAGCUUGUGGUACAAGCUGAUCAUGUGGCACACAUAUAUGAAACUUGUCUUACAAGUUAAGAUAUGUGUCUCACAAAUUAGACACGUAUUGGAGGUCCUAUAAAAUGUUGCCAUGUAGCUCUUAGUUAGAUAGUAUAUAUAGAGGCAAGAGUGAAGCCUCCUUCAUUCUUGUCAAUUCCUUUCUUGCUUCUAAUGUAGUUUCAAAUAUCUCUAGUUUCCUUGUCUUUUGGCAAUAGUCAUUUCAAUUUCUUUUGAAUAUACAUAUGUAUUUAUAUUAUUUUUUUGUCAUCAUUCUUUGAAAAAAAUCUUGGUUGUUUAUUCACAUUCAUUAAGUUCUUAUCCUUGACAAUUUAUAGAUUUGUGUGUUUAUUUUAAAAAAUUAUAUUCUUUGAUCCACCUUCCUACAAAAUAAAAAAAAAAAAUAUUAAAAGAUAAAAUAGUGGGUUUUAAUUUAUUUUUAUUUUUUACUUAUUUCUUAUUUAUUUCAAAAAAUUGUACUCUUUUUUAAACUUUGAUGUAAGUUAAAGAGAUCUAAAUAUUUUUAUCUAAUCUUUUUUUUCUUUUCUUUUUUUCUUUUUUUUUCUUUUUUUCUUUCUUUUUUCAAUUCUAUCUUUUAAAAAAAAACUAGUACCAAAUCAAUAGUUUCACAAAUCAAAUCCAACUUUUCAUCAAACAAAAAACCUUUACUUACAACUUUGCCUUCAUAAAGGAUACAAACAACAACUCCAAAAGGUACCACUACCUCUUCCAUAAAUCUCAAAGGAACCUCUCUUAUGAGCCUCAAUCCCAUGAUAUAUGUAUAUGUUGGCAAAGCAACUUUUCAUCAAACAAAAAACCUUUCACAAAUCAAAUCCAACUUUUAUAUUUAUUGAUAUAUUUAUCGUGAAUCUGAAGAUAUAUAUAUCAGGCCGGUCAGUAGGUAGGAGGAAAAAUAUCUUCAGAUUCACGAUAAAUUACAUUCUUAUUAGUAAAGCCUACUUUUAAGGCAGUUAAUAGGAUGAAACCAGAAGAGCCACAAAAUUUUCCAGACUAACAAGACAAGUUCUUCUAACUCUUGAAGCCCAAU